UACGUAGGGGGCAAGCGUUAAUCGGAAUUACUGGGCGUAAAGCGUGCGCAGGCGGUUUUGUAAGACUGUCGUGAAAUCCCCGGGCUUAACCUGGGAAUGGCGAUGGUGACUGCAAGGCUAGAGUUUGGCAGAGGGGGGUAGAAUUCCACGUGUAGCAGUGAAAUGCGUAGAGAUGUGGAGGAACACCGAUGGCGAAGGCAGCCCCCUGGGUCAAAACUGACGCUCAUGCACGAAAGCGUGGGGAGCAAACAGG
rnacentral:rRNA from 1 species